rnacentral:rRNA from 1 species
GUAGGGAAUAUUGGGCAAUGGAUGGAAGUCUGACCCAGCCAUGCCGCGUGCCGGAUGAAGGCGCUCUGCGUUGUAAACGGCUUUUAUUCGGGAAGAAGAGUAGGGAUGCGUCCUUAUGUGACGGUACCGAAUGAAUAAGCACCGGCUAACUCCGUGCCAGCAGCCGCGGUAAUACGGAGGGUGCAAGCGUUAUCCGGAAUCACUGGGUUUAAAGGGUACGUAGGCGGUUAAUUAAGUAAGUAGUGAAAGACUGUCGCUCAACGACGGAUGUGCUAUUGAUACUGGUUAACUUGAAUCAGGUUAGAGUUGGCGGAAUGGGUCAUGUAGCGGUGAAAUGCUUAGAUAUGACUUGGAACACCGAUAGCGAAGGCAGCUGACUGAGCCUUGAUUGACGCUGAGGUACGAAAGUGUGGGUAGCGAACAGGAUUAGAUACCCUAGUAGUCC